rnacentral:rRNA from 1 species
UACGGAGGGUGCAAGCGUUAUCCGGAUUCACUGGGUUUAAAGGGUGCGUAGGUGGGUUUGUAAGUCAGUGGUGAAAUCUCCAAGCUUAACUUGGAACUGCCGUUGAUACUAUAAAUCUUGAAUGUUGUGGAGGUGAGCGGAAUAUGUCAUGUAGCGGUGAAAAUGCUUAGAUAUGACAUAGAACACCAAUUGCGAAGGCAGCUCACUACACAAAGAUUGACACUCGAGGCACGAAAGCGUGGGGAUC